AAACUUACCUGACGCGAGAGGCACCUUGAUCAACUAGGAGGUCCUCUCAGGAUGAGGCCCUUUCAUUGCACUUCGACUGGGUUGACUCCUGCGAUUACCCCUAAUGUGGGUAACUCGAGCGUAUAAUUUCUGGUAGUGGGGACCUGCGUUCGCGCUUGUCCCCU
rnacentral:snRNA from 1 species